GAUGAACGCUGGCGGCGUGCCUAAUACAUGCAAGUCGAGCGAACAGAUGAGGAGCUUGCUCCUCUGACGUUAGCGGCGGACGGGUGAGUAACACGUGGAUAACCUACCUAUAAGACUGGGAUAACUUCGGGAAACCGGAGCUAAUACCGGAUAAUAUAUUGAACCGCAUGGUUCAAUAGUGAAAGACGAUUUUGCUGUCACUUAUAGAUGGAUCCGCGCCGCAUUAGCUAGUUGGUAAGGUAACGGCUUACCAAGGCAACGAUGCGUAGCCGACCUGAGAGGGUGAUCGGCCACACUGGAACUGAGACACGGUCCAGACUCCUACGGGAGGCAGCAGUAGGGAAUCUUCCGCAAUGGGCGAAAGCCUGACGGAGCAACGCCGCGUGAGUGAUGAAGGUCUUCGGAUCGUAAAACUCUGUUAUUAGGGAAGAACAAAUGUGUAAGUAACUAUGCACGUCUUGACGGUACCUAAUCAGAAAGCCACGGCUAACUACGUG
rnacentral:rRNA from 1 species